rnacentral:rRNA from 1 species
UACGUAGGGGGCAAGCGUUGUCCGGAAUUAUUGGGCGUAAAGAGCUCGUAGGCGGUUUGUCGCGUCUGCUGUGAAAACCCGAGGCUCAACCUCGGGCCUGCAGUGGGUACGGGCAGACUAGAGUGCGGUAGGGGAGAUUGGAAUUCCUGGUGUAGCGGUGGAAUGCGCAGAUAUCAGGAGGAACACCGAUGGCGAAGGCAGGUCACUGGGCCGCAACUGACGCUGAGGAGCGAAAGCAUGGGGAGCGAACAGG